GCCUGGGUGGCUCAGUCGAUUAAGCAUCUGACUUCGGCUCAGGUCAUGAUCACCCAGUUCGUGGGUUCAAGCCCCGCAUCAGGCU
rnacentral:tRNA from 1 species